CUUAGUCAAGUACUGCAUUCAUUCUCGCUGUCGCUACCUCGUCCAUUCUUCUAAUCGAAAUUGUUGGAGUCACAAGAACGGAAAUAUCAACUGACGACACAAAAAGGUCAAACCGGUAGAUACCGACUUGCAUGUUUCAAUGGAUUCGUACAAGGGAUGGUCCUGCAAAGAAUCGAUUCCACACUUACCUCUCAUGCAAGGGAAAAGACGGUGCUAUAGUAACGGAAACGUUUAGCUUUAACGAUAGCCAGAACGAACGGAGAGCCAGAACAAAAACCAAGACUGGAUACUUCGUGUGUCGAUGUGACUAGGAAUUUGAGCAGUUGCAUCAUCAAAUCAGCUAUUCCCUAAAGCGGCAGCGAAAACAGCAGCGACGCAACGUCUCGGAGCGAGGUGGAGAUGUCUGACCUUCUUGUCAGAAAUCAAAUUCUUUCUACUUUGUCCACUUGUCUGUGUGGAGGCUGGAGCCUGUAUAUUGUUGUACCCAGGUUUCUGUUAGCUGAUCCUGUCAACGACGUACGGCAAACCAGUGAUGGUUGAGCACGAAGUUUACUUAGGAAGACGAAUGAAUCAAGUUCGUAACGAAUGGCAGUUGAAAGGGAAACGAGAUUGUCGUUCAAGCAGAAAAAAAAAAAACAAUGCGAAAACUAAAGUCGACGGAACGACUAUACAAAACGAAUAGCCAAUUUUUUUCCGGAAAAGAGAAGAGAGACGUUCCGUACGUGCACGAAAUUCAAACAAGUACAUAAACACAUACUGAAUGUGAAUGUGGCACCAAAUGUUCAUCUUAUUUUGGCUUCUAGCAUGACAAAGCUAGAAGCCAGCAUGGUGUAUCUUCAUGGGCUACACAUGACCACGUGUGUGGAUUAGCGAGUGUAAAUAAAUGUUUUCUAUCGAAAUAGCGAUAGAAAAUUCAGUUAAAAUCGCUUAUCGUUACCUGGGCGUAGUUGCGCGCAUUUCGUGGGUCUACGGGACGGGCCACUAAGUGUGACUCGCAUUAGCCUGCAGCCAUAAAUACAGCCGCUCUAUAAGGCAUUACCGAUUUCAGUAAAUUAUUCAAAAUAUAUAAAUCAGUCCAAGCAUCCUUUCUGCAUGCAUGAGAUAUCGCCAGAUAACUAUUAGUUAAUAUAAUAGAUAAUCUCAAUGCGAUUAUCCAUAAACUAACUUCUACGAUUGAAUUUCUAUAGGAACGCAGUUAUAUUUCACGAGACGUUAACUCCUCAAUGCGGAACCUAAUGGACGCUAGCCAGUUGCCGGUGUUAUCUGCUCCGUAGUAGAGCUGACCCUGAUGUACAAGGAAACAACGUUCAGACACAAUUAUGGCUAUAUGACGAGAUAUAUUAGACACCAAUUAAUUCUGUCUGAGAUGCUUAAAACACGUAGGCUGCUCAGGGAAUUGCUACGGCUUGUAUGUAUACUAAACGCAGCGUUAUGUGAAGAAAGAACCAAAAUACUAUUUGACGUACCCAGUAACUUGCUAGUGGUCGGUCUUCAUUUCGAGAAGCGAGCAGUCCCAAAUGUGUCUCUAAGAAAGCGGCGGUGCUUUUGUCCCAAUUAGGCCAGAUAUUAGAUGUACUUGAACCUAAAGGCAUGACAAAGACAAUAGCUCGGUGAAGUUUAAAGGAAACCGGACUAAUGUGUCAUCUACCAAGUGAUAAAGCGAUACAUCGUCGAUCUAAAAUGCUUUAAAAGAAGAAACUAUAUCGUUGAAUAUAGCUGGACCACAUAACAUUGAACUAAAACUUCGAGAAGUUAUGUCACCUAAGUUCAGACGGUGGGUCUGUGAAUAUGCAGUAUCGUAGGUAUUUACCUUUAGCUCAACUUAGUUAUACGUAAUCAACUUACUGUGUUACUAUUUAACAACAUUCUACAUGUAUUACAGCCGUUUUGGUACAUAAAAAAACCGACUUCAGAUAAAUUUGACUUUGGCGCGUGACCGCGAGAGACAUGGCGCACGUGAGAACUUCUAUAGGCCCUGAAGAUCUGUGCGUUUACUGAUCGUGUACUGAUCUAAGGGCUUUCUCUGCACUAUCUGUUCGGCCUAGGCCUCUUCACUUUCGCGAGCCCGACGCUCCGUUCCCGAAUCGACUGCCAGACUUUCAGGACUUGCCUUUAUGCGUACAGACUAUCUCCCCGAUAUUUGAGGAGGCGCUGCUUUAUCUGGGCACAUAUAUCUGGUACGGAAGGCGAGCUUGGCGAAGGUCUCAACUAACUGCUAUAUGUGGAAUUCGACAUUGGCGAAACGAUGAACGAAUGAAAGGUUUCAUGAAACUAAUUGAUCGGUCACCCUUAUUUCAGGUGCAUAAAAGAUCAACCGGGGUAUUUAUGCUUGGUUAUUAUUCUAUGAGUGACUUGUCAGUAUACCAAAAAAGUAGGGUAAGCUGAACAGCCCAGUGAUCGCAUUCGGAAAAGCUUUCAGUAAGGAAUGAAUGAAUAGUCGCAAGCCAGCGAUUUAACGUAAUCGUUUCGCCUCGAUCAUGUUAGCGUUCUGUCAAGGUGAAACCAUUAGGUUAAAGCAAUAAGUACAUCGAUAGGCUUUGGGCCUACAAUUGACAAACCUGUUAAAUCGGACUCUCUAAUUUUUUAACUUGAAUAAUUAUUUAACUUAUUUGUAGCUAACGUACAUACGACUUUCUAUCGUCGCUGUUCGUAGAAGGCUGAAUUGUCUUGCUUGUCAAUCCUUUGGUAAGUAAAAAUCCCUAAAGUGGAACACUGGCUCUAUUCUUACUGUGUAUAACUCCCAUAUGCAGAUCAAGCAUUCUAGUAAUGCUAUAUUUCUUCGCAUGGAACCGAAUUGUUUCCUUAGGUAAAACAAGCGGUAUUUGGUUAGUUAUCAAAAGGCAGAAUCAUAGCUCCAAAUGUGCGACUUCAGAACCAGUUACGUACUUCAGAACCUUGCCGGAAAUGUUACUAGACGCUUGGAUGAUUAAAUAUGUAUAUUGAAAUAAAAGAUUGAUUUCUGUUUUUUAUUGCCUUUAGCAUUAUUUUGCUUCCACAUCCCGCAUAAAAUAUGCUUUAAGCUUAAAAUGUGUUCACAAGAAAUAUCUACAAUAUUUAAGAGAACGCUGAACGAAUUCUGGUUAUUAGCAAAGCGCCUGACUACAAUAAUUAUAUAAAUUGUAUUAUCUUGUAAAAUCUGUUGGCCAAAAGAAUAAUAAUGAUUAAAAAAAAAUAGCUAUAAUGUAUGACAAGGCAGAAAAGUAACUGUUUAUCAUUUUGUCGGCUUCUGAGUAACAUCUUGCCUGAUUAUACACAAGAUUCAUGCUGUUUAAGGCAGUAACGUUGCUCACUCAAUGAUCAAAAGUAGAUUUCUCACUGUAGGACGAAAUUUCAGUUGUCAAGGUUACAAGUUUGUUAAAUAAUGGCAUUAUUUUUUUAAAUCUUAGAUAUUUCAAAUGACAGAUGAGUAUAUACCUACGGCUGGAAGCGGGUGAUUUAUGAACGCCUGAAUAAAAAAUCGUCAUUGUGGUACAAUUUUACAUAAUAACAGCGUAUUGCGAACAGUAUUGAAUCUUAACAACCUAUCGGCUUGUUAUCUGUUCGACCGGCUAACUUUCUGUUAGUAGGCAGUAACUAAAAAAAUACGGUUACAUUGCAUUGACAACGCUGAAUUUAAUUCUGAAACUACGAAGGGCUAACGGCUGUAUAAAGUUUGUUAACGGAAUUACACGUCACGAUAAUGGUUAUCUUCGAAAUGUCUAUGUUGGAAACGGGUAUCUAUUAUCUAUAAAAGACGCAGUAAUACAUUGAACAGCGUAAGGAUAGCACUUAACACGGUAUAAAAAGGCCAAUCUUGUACAUUUUGCAAAGCAAGAAGGAUACCACCAAUACAGGCCGUUGCCGGUCAGUUAGCCGGUCACCUGCUCGCACUGCCAAACAGCUGUACAUAUAAGAAUUCCUUACGAAUGAAGCCUCCC